rnacentral:rRNA from 1 species
AGAGUUUGAUCAUGGCUCAGAUUGAACGCUGGCGGCAGGCCUAACACAUGCAAGUCGAACGGUAACAGGAAGCAGCUUGCUGCUUCGCUGACGAGUGGCGGACGGGUGAGUAAUGUCUGGGAAGCUGCCUGAUGGAGGGGGAUAACUACUGGAAACGGUAGCUAAUACCGCAUAAUGUCGCAAGACCAAAGAGGGGGACCUUCGGGCCUCUUGCCAUCGGAUGUGCCCAGAUGGGAUUAGCUUGUUGGUGGGGUAACGGCUCACCAAGGCGACGAUCCCUAGCUGGUCUGAGAGGAUGACCAGCCACACUGGAACUGAGACACGGUCCAGACUCCUACGGGAGGCAGCAGUGGGGAAUAUUGCACAAUGGGCGCAAGCCUGAUGCAGCCAUGCCGCGUGUAUGAAGAAGGCCUUCGGGUUGUAAAGUACUUUCAGCGGGGAGGAAGGGAGUAAAGUUAAUACCUUUGCUCAUUGACGUUACCCGCAGAAGAAGCACCGGCUAACUCCGUGCCAGCAGCCGCGGUAAUACGGAGGGUGCAAGCGUUAAUCGGAAUAACUGGGCGUAAAGCGCACGCAGGCGGUUUGUUAAGUCAGAUGUGAAAUCCCCGGGCUCAACCUGGGAACUGCAUCUGAUACUGGCAAGCUUGAGUCUCGUAGAGGGGGGUAGAAUUCCAGGUGUAGCGGUGAAAUGCGUAGAGAUCUGGAGGAAUACCGGUGGCGAAGGCGGCCCCCUGGACGAAGACUGACGCUCAGGUGCGAAAGCGUGGGGAGCAAACAGGAUUAGAUACCCUGGUAGUCCACGCCGUAAACGAUGUCGACUUGGAGGUUGUGCCCUUGAGGCGUGGCUUCCGGAGCUAACGCGUUAAGUCGACCGCCUGGGGAGUACGGCCGCAAGGUUAAAACUCAAAUGAAUUGACGGGGGCCCGCACAAGCGGUGGAGCAUGUGGUUUAAUUCGAUGCAACGCGAAGAACCUUACCUGGUCUUGACAUCCACGGAAGUUUUCAGAGAUGAGAAUGUGCCUUCGGGAACCGUGAGACAGGUGCUGCAUGGCUGUCGUCAGCUCGUGUUGUGAAAUGUUGGGUUAAGUCCCGCAACGAGCGCAACCCUUAUCCUUUGUUGCCAGCGGUCCGGCCGGGAACUCAAAGGAGACUGCCAGUGAUAAACUGGAGGAAGGUGGGGAUGACGUCAAGUCAUCAUGGCCCUUACGACCAGGGCUACACACGUGCUACAAUGGCGCAUACAAAGAGAAGCGACCUCGCGAGAGCAAGCGGACCUCAUAAAGUGCGUCGUAGUCCGGAUUGGAGUCUGCAACUCGACUCCAUGAAGUCGGAAUCGCUAGUAAUCGUGGAUCAGAAUGCCACGGUGAAUACGUUCCCGGGCCUUGUACACACCGCCCGUCACACCAUGGGAGUGGGUUGCAAAAGAAGUAGGUAGCUUAACCUUCGGGAGGGCGCUUACCACUUUGUGAUUCAUGACUGGGGUGAAGUCGUAACAAGGUAACCGUAGGGGAACCUGCGGUUG